GUGCCAGCAGCUGCGGUAAUACGGAGGGUGCAAGCGUUAAUCGGAAUUACUGGGCGUAAAGCGCACGCAGGCGGUCUGUCAAGUCGGAUGUGAAAUCCCCGGGCUCAACCUGGGAACUGCAUUCGAAACUGGCAGGCUGGAGUCUUGUAGAGGGGGUAGAAUUCCAGGUGUAGCGGUGAAAUGCGUAGAGAUCUGGAGGAAUACCGGUGGCGAAGGCGGCCCCCUGGACAAAGACUGACGCUCAGGUGCGAAAGCGUGGGAGCAAACAGGAUUAGAUACCCUGGUAGUCCACGCCGUAACGAUGUCGACUUGAGGUUGUGCCCUUGAGGCGUGGCUUCCGGAGCUAACGCGUUAAGUCGACGCC
rnacentral:rRNA from 1 species